UAGGGAAUCUUCCGCAAUGGGCGAAAGCCUGACGGAGCAACGCCGCGUGAGUGAUGAAGGUCUUCGGAUCGUAAAACUCUGUUAUUAGGGAAGAACAAAUGUGUAAGUAACUAUGCACGUCUUGACGGUACCUAAUCAGAAAGCCACGGCUAACUACGUGCCAGCAGCCGCGGUAAUACGUAGGUGGCAAGCGUUAUCCGGAAUGAUUGGGCGUAAAGCGCGCGUAGGCGGUUUUUUAAGUCUGAUGUGAAAGCCCACGACUCAAACGUGGAGGGUCAUUGGAAACUGGAAAACUUGAGUGCAGAAGAGGAAAGUGGAAUUCCAUGUGUAGCGGUGAAAUGCGCAGAGAUAUGGAGGAACACCAGUGGCGAAGGCGACUUUCUGGUCUGUAACUGACGCUGAUAUGCGAAAGCGUGGGGAUCAAACAGG
rnacentral:rRNA from 1 species